UACGGGGGGGGCAAGCGUUGUUCGGAAUUACUGGGCGUAAAGGGCUCGUAGGCGGCCAACUAAGUCAGACGUGAAAUCCCUCGGCUUAACCGGGGAACUGCGUCUGAUACUGGAUGGCUUGAGGUUGGGAGAGGGAUGCGGAAUUCCAGGUGUAGCGGUGAAAUGCGUAGAUAUCUGGAGGAACACCGGUGGCGAAGGCGGCAUCCUGGACCAAUUCUGACGCUGAGGAGCGUAAGCCAGGGGAGCAAACGGG
rnacentral:rRNA from 1 species